GGUGGUUCAUAUCCUAAAGUUACAUUUAUGCCCUUACUAGUGUACCUGGAUUCUAAUUGAAAUUCUUCUGUCACUUCCAAUUGUUCUGCAAAACCUCUGUGAAAGUACUUGAAAUUAUACAAACAGUAAAAAUUGCUCAGGUAUGCCAUCUUCACUAUACUGUUAAGCUUAUCAGAAAGAAAAUGCAUUCCCUUUUCAGAUGUGUCAUUAGUAUUAUUUCAUCUCGUCCACUAUCUACACCUGAUUGUCCGCUGUUACAUUGAAUGGAGCUCUCUUCAUGUUGGUGUCUCUUCCUACCUUCACUUUUUUCCAGUUGCAAGUUGCGAUAUCAUCCUCCUCACUUCACCAAUUCAGCUAAUUUUCCCUGCUGGUUAGAAUCAAUUAAGAAUAGAUCGCUGUUGUAUUCUUGUUUCUCAGCGGUCCUAUCUUCUGGUCACCCAAUCUUAUUCCAUGUUACAUUGAAUGGAGCUCUCUUCAUGUUGGUGUCUCUUCCUACCUUCACUUUUUUCCAGUUGCGAGUUGCGAUAUCAUCCUCCUCACUUCACCAAUUCAGCUAAUUUUCCCUGCUGGUUAGAAUCAAUUAAGAAUAGAUCGCUGUUGUAUUCUUGUUUCUCAGCGGUCCUAUCUUCUGGUCACCCAAUCUUAUUCCAUGUUACAUUGAAUGGAGCUCUCUUCAUGUUGGUGUCUCUUCCUACCUUCACUUUUUUCCAGUUGCGAGUUGCGAUAUCAUCCUCCUCACUUCACCAAUUCAGCUAAUUUUCCCUGCUGGUUAGAAUCAAUUAAGAAUAGAUCGCUGUUGUAUUCUUGUUUCUCAGCGGUCCUAUCUUCUGGUCACCCAAUCUUAUUCCAUGGUGAUAGAAGUUAGUAACCUUUCUGUGGAUUUGACAUCCUUUCUGAUCCCACAAGGUUCCCACAGCAUGCAUUUAGCAGUUUCUGCAUUGAAACAGAAACGUGUGUGAUGCUAAAAUGAACUCUGAUUUCAUCCUCCAUUUGGCAAAAGCUCAAUCAGGUUAUAGCAGACAUUUUAUGACUAGUAUUUGCAAUCAUAGAAUUUUUUUUCAAGGAAAAGGUAAGGAUAUCCUGUAGUUUCUUGCUCAGUUUGUUACGUCUGGGGGUGAUAUUUUCUCAAUCGAGUUAUUAUAUUUUUAUUUUAUUGAUAUUUGAUUGUGUGCCUAAAACAUUCUAUCCGUGCACAAACUCAGGUUC
rnacentral:lncRNA from 1 species